CAGCAACAGCAACAGCAACAACAACUUAACCCUAAUCCUGACAUUUCAGCGUACUAUCAAACUAGAGCGGCUCAUCAUGGAGUUGUUACAAGUGACUGGCUUUCUCAGGCUCAAGCUGCCGUAGACCAACCAUCUGAAGACGUUGUAUCCUCGAAUGUUUCUUCUAAGUCUGGAGAUUUGAGUGGGAAAUUUAAUGUGAUUGAUGAGUUUAAUAAUUGGCGUAAACAACCUGAUUUGGCUGAGGCUGUUGCUGCUAUUAGGGCUUUGGCUUCAG
rnacentral:misc_RNA from 1 species